rnacentral:rRNA from 1 species
GUCGUCAGCUCGUGUCGUGAGAUGUUGGGUUAAGUCCCGCAACGAGCGCAACCCCUGCAUUCAGUUGCCAACGGUAAGGCCGGGCACUCUGGAUGGACUGCCGGCGACAAGCCGGAGGAAGGUGGGAUGACGUCAAGUCAUCAUGGCCCUUAUGUUCUGGGCUACACACGUGCUACAAUGGCCGGUACAGACGGACGCAAAGCCGCGAGGCGGAGCAAAUCCGAAAAAGCCGGUCUCAGUUCGGAUUGCAGGCUGCAAUUCGCCUGCAUGAAGUCGGAAUCGCUAGUAAUCGCAGGUCAGCAUACUGCGGUGAAUACGUUCCCGGGCCUU